UACGUAGGGAGCAAGCGUUGUCCGGAUUCACUGGGUGUAAAGGGUGCGCAGGCGGGAGAGUAAGUCAGAGGUGAAAUCUCACAGCUUAACUGUGAAACUGCCUUUGAUACUGCUUUUCUUGAGUUCGGGAGAGGUUGAUGGAAUUCCAGGUGUAGCGGUGAAAUGCGCAGAUAUCAGGAGGAACACCAAUGGCGAAGGCAGCUCGCUGGGACGGUACUGACGCUGAGACGCGAAAGCGUGGGGGAGCGAACAGG
rnacentral:rRNA from 1 species